UGCCCAGAAGUUUCAAGAUCUGACCUUGGAGAGACCAGGUCCGGGAGGCUGCCGGGAAGUCUCCAUCACACCGGCCUCAGCCGAGUCACAGGAACGCAGGCUCUGCCAUGCCCAGAAGCCUGAGAUGCAACUUCAAGGACAACGGGAGCCAGAACGCUUGACCUCACACGGAAGGUGACUCCUAACCACCACCACACUUGACGUAGCACCAGCACACGGAGAUUAGGCCUACACCAAUGGCUAAUUGAGACCAUGCAUCACUAUUAAGGCAUCUUCAGCAAAAGGAACUAUGGAAGUUCUGCAUGAAACAUAGACACCUGUUAGAAAAGGAACUAAAUUUCAAACCGGGAAUGUGGUGUUGAAUCACAGCAAAGUGUCCAGAAGGAACUCCCAAAGUACUGUUUUCCAAAAUAUAGAAUGAUAUAGAAGAUUGUUUUAGGUGGAAUUCCUGGAAAUAAAUUUUUAAAUGUU
rnacentral:lncRNA from 1 species